AUUGAACGCUGGCGGCAGGCCUAACACAUGCAAGUCGAGCGAGCGGCGGACGGGUGAUUAAUGUUUGGUCAUCUGCCCGCUGGAGGGGGUUAACUACUGGAAACGGUGGCUAAUACCGCAUACUAUCGGAUGUACCCACGUGGGAUGAGCUAGUGGGGGGGGUAAAGGCUCACCUAGGCGACGAUCCCUAGCGGGUCUGAGAGGAUGACCAGCGACACUGGAACUGAGACACGGCCCAGACUCCGACGGGAGGCAGCAGUGGGGAAUAUUGCACAAUGGGCGCAAGCCUGAUGCAGCCAUGCCGCGUGUAUGAAGAAGGCCUUAGGGUUGUAAAGUACUUUCAGCGGGGAGGCGUUACCCGCAGAAGAAGCACCGGCUAACUCCGUGCCAGCAGCCGCGGUAAUAC
rnacentral:rRNA from 1 species